GACGAACGCUGGCGGCGUGCUUAACACAUGCAAGUCGAACGGUAAGGCCCUUCGGGGUACACGAGUGGCGAACGGGUGAGUAACACGUGGGUGAUCUGCCCUGCACUUCGGGAUAAGCCUGGGAAACUGGGUCUAAUACCGGAUAGGACUCCUGGCUUCAUGGUUGGGGGUGGAAAGCUUUUGCGGUGUGGGAUGGGCCCGCGGCCUAUCAGCUUGUUGGUGGGGUGAUGGCCUACCAAGGCGACGACGGGUAGCCGGCCGGAAGGGGUGACCGGCCACACUGGGAGUGGGAUACGGCCCAGACUCCUACGGGAGGCAGCAGUGGGGAAUAUUGCACAAUGGGCGCAAGCCUGAGGCAGCGACGCCGCGUGGGGGAUGACGGCCUUCGGGCUGUAAACCUCUUUCAGCACCGACGAAGCGCAAGUGACGGUAGGUGCAGAAGAAGGACCGGCCAACUACGUGCCAGCAGCCGCAGUAA
rnacentral:rRNA from 1 species